CGUGUAGGCGGUUGGUCAAGUCGGGUGUGAAAGCCUGGGGCUCAGCCCCAGAAGUGCAUCCGAAACUAGCCAGCUAGAGCGCGAUAGAGGAGGGUGGAAUUCCUGGUGUAGCGGUGAAAUGCGUAGAUAUCAGGAGGAACACCGGCGGCGAAGGCGGCCCUCUGGAUCGUUGCUGACGCUGAGACGCGAAAGCGUGGGGAGCAAACAGGAUUAGAUACCCUGGUAGUCCACGCCUUAAACGAUGGGUACUAGGUGCUCGGGGUGUUGACCCCCUGAGUGCCGCAGUUAACGCAUUAAGUACCCCGCCUGGGGACUACGGCCGCAAGGUUAAA
rnacentral:rRNA from 1 species